rnacentral:rRNA from 1 species
UACGUAGGGUGCAAGCGUUGUCCGGAAUUAUUGGGCGUAAAGAGCUCGUAGGCGGCUUGUCGCGUCGACUGUGAAAUCCCGAGGCUCAACUUCGGGCUGCAGUCGAUACGGGCAGGCUAGAGUUCGGUAGGGGAGACUGGAAUUCCUGGUGUAGCGGUGAAAUGCGCAGAUAUCAGGAGGAACACCGAUGGCGAAGGCAGGUCUCUGGGCCGUAACUGACGCUGAGGAGCGAAAGCGUGGGGAGCGAACAGG